GAGAGAGAGAGAAUCUUGUAAAGGAGAAGAUUAAAAAGAAAAAGUAGAAGAAAUGGAUAAUUUUAGAAGAAAUUUGAGACAAUAUGAUGAUAAGAGGACACGAUCUAUGAAUAACAAGUGUUUUCGAUCAAAUUUUAACUUUAAGGGAAAAAAGAUGGAACGAUACUUGAGAAUACUUUAGAUGCGUACAUAACCUCAAACAUGGCGUUAACGCGAUAUUAUACAAGAAACGUCGAUUCACUGCCCGAGUCACGCAUGGAUUUCACGUUCAUCGACCAGGGAAAACGUAUCAUUAGAUCGCGGAAAUUAGUGGUUGGUGGGUAACGCAAAGGAUGUCUGUAUGUGGUGCAAAAACGCCACUUGAGAAAGAAAUCGAUUGAAGCCCAAAAGAAGCGAUUGAAAUUCUGCUGGUUGUACGCUAUUGCUCAAAAAGUAUGUGGAAAUCCUGUUUAUUUCAACCUAGUUUUCUCGCGUGAGCCAGGUGGUCGAAGAGGAAGCGA